CAAAUAUCUAAUUUAUAAAACUCAAACUUCACAUGAAUAUUAUUUUUCAAAACUAAACUCAUUUCAAACACAAUUAUAUAUUAUCUAAACCCGUAUUAUUAAGAUUUGUUUAGUUGGGUACCCGAAAAUAACCACUCGUUGCCAUCUGGUUAGAUUUGGGAAGGGAGGGGGAAGGGAGUAGGGGGAUUCAAACAUAAAUACAUUAGCUUCACUAAAUAAGAAGAGAGCGAAAUUGUGAUUACUAACUAAAUUAUGCCUUGAAAAUAUAAACCCUCAUAACUCAAUUGAUGUAAGGCCCAACAAAAUAGCCAAAUCAAAAAUACAUACCCAUCGCCUAGUGGCACAGAACACUGUUGAUCAGCGGCAAAACAUGGUAAUUUCAUUCCACAUUUCAUCUACAAUUGGAUGGCAAUGCUUCAGCGUCCAAAAUGAAAACUUUCACAAGUUUGCAGCCUUUCAAGAGCCCAAUGGCAUAUUUUCUAAGGGAUUGAGAUUAAAUUCAGACAACUUAUGCUUUAUCAAUGUAAUAAUUGCUAUCGGAGACAAUACAGUAGUUGAUAUAUGCACAGCAUGACCCUUCGUCCUGUAACAAUCAAUACACAAAAUAAUGGCAUUCCCUAGUGUGUGUACUCAACGAUUUAUACAGGCAAAUACCUUUCAUGACUCUUCAGGCUUUGGUUCAAGUAUAACUGGAAUCUUCUCCUUGUGAUCACCUCGCAACACCUCCACAAUCACCUGAUCGCCUACUUUACAUUGGUCAAGAAUUCUGUACAAGUCACUGCCAUUUGUAACUUUUUUCCCAUUCACAGAUGUUAUGAUAUCACCCAAAAUAAGUCUACCAUAGGCAUCACGUUUGGUGGGUUGCAGACCUGCUUUGCCUGCUGGACCAUUUAAAGGAGCAUCUAAGACAAGCACCCCACUUACUCCUAACUGCUCCACAGAUUGAUCAGGUGCAAACUUAAUACCUAAAAUAGGUCUCGUAACUUUUCCAAACUUCACCAACUGUUCAACAAUGCCACUUACAGUAUCAACGGGGAUUGAAAAUCCAACGCCAGAGGAUGCACCAGAUGGAGAGUAUAUGGCUGUAUUUAUCCCAAUAAGGCUUCCUGAACUAUCAAGAAGUGGCCCUCCACUAUUACCAGGAUUAAUGGCAGCAUCUGUCUGUAUAACAUCCUGAAUGGGACGGCCAGUAGCAGCAGAACUGAUUUCUCUACGAAGCCCACUGAUGACACCAGUUGUUAAAGUGUGAUCAAGUCCAAAAGGGUUGCCGAUAGCAUAUACUUUCUGACCAACAAGCAAGUCAGCAGAAACACCAACAGGUAUUGGUCUUAGCUUGUCUUUGGGUGCAUCAACUCGCAACACAGCAACAUCCUUAUCUUGGUCAAAUCCAACAACUUUUGCAUCAAAAGUUGACUGGUCAGCAAGAGUGACCUUGAGAUCAGAAGCACCACGAAUCACAUGAUAAUUGGUAACUAUGUGACCUUCUUUGUCCCACACGAACCCAGACCCUGACCCCUGCGGCACCUCCAACACAUCCAAAGUAAAUGCAUCUUGCUUGACGGCGAGAUUGGUGAUGUAAACAACUGAAGGAGUGUUCUCUUGAAAGAGGCGAACAGUAGCAAGCUCAUCGGUCUGCAAUUUACGAGCAGUAGUAACGACGAAUGCGAAGGACGGGUCCACAUCGGCGACGAAUAGAGAGACGGAUAAGGCAAGUGAUGUGCAGAGAAGAAGCAGCAAGUCUAAAGCUGAAGAGGAUGAGGAAGAAGAGGGGCUUUCAGUGAAUAAGAGAUUGUGUGGGUUUAAAGAGAAAGAAUCGUGGAAUUGAUUCAACAAACGGAGGAUGCCAGAAUUGAUAUUGUUAUUGUUAUGGUUUUGGUUUCUGUGGAGGAGAGAAAGGCAUUUAAGUUUUGAGAGAGGAAACGGUGGUUUUCUGCUUGGAGAGCGAGAAAAUGGAGAGUAAUGGUGGACGAAUGUGGAAAUGAGUGAAGAAGCAGCAGCAGCCAUUUCUUGCUCAGUGGCUUUUCUUGGUUCUUUCAGAGAAAAGAGGAGUCUCCAGACUUUCCGGCUCUAACCAUAUGUAAU
rnacentral:misc_RNA from 1 species